GACGAACGCUGGCGGCGUGCCUAAUACAUGCAAGUAGGACGCAGUUGCGAACGGGUGAGUAACGCGUAGGUAACUGCCUAUUAGAGGGGGAUAACAAUUGGAAACGAUAGCUAAUACCGCAUACUAGUAGAUGGACCUGCGUUGUAUUAGCUAGUAGGUAGGGUAAUGGCCUACCUAGGCGACGAUACAUAGCCGACCUUGAGGGGGGGUCGGGCACAAUUGGACUGGGACAAGGGCCAGACUUCUACGGGAGGGAACAGGAGGGGAAUCUCGGGAAUGGGGGGAACGCGGACCGGACAACGGCGCGGGGGGUGAGAAGGUUUUCGGGGCGUAAAGCUCUUGUUGUUAGGGAGCGGUAUUUAACCAGAAAGCGACGGCUAACUACGUGCCAGCCGCCGCGGUAAUUC
rnacentral:rRNA from 1 species